UACGUAGGCAGCGAGCGUUGUUCGGAGUUACUGGGCGUAAAGGGUGUGUAGGCGGUUCUUUAAGUUUGGUGUGAAAUCUCCCGGCUCAACCGGGAGGGUGCGCCGAAUACUGAGGGACUCGAGUGCGGGAGAGGAAAGUGGAAUUCCUGGUGCAGCGGUGAAAUGCGUAGAUAUCAGGAGGAACACCGGUGGUGUAGACGGCUUUCUGGACCGUAACUGACGCUGAGACACGAAAGCGUGGGUAGCAAACAGG
rnacentral:rRNA from 1 species